GCCCAGAUAGUUCAGUCGGUAGAGCAUCAGACUUUUAAUCUGAGGGUCCAGGGUUCAAAUCUCUGGUCAGGCG